CGUAGGACAUUGAUCGUUGAACAAACGAACCUUUAGUAGCGGCUACACCACUUGGGUGUCCUGAUCCAACAUCGAGGUCGUAAACCCCCCUUGCGAUAUGGACUCUUAAGGGGGAUGGCGCUGUUAUCCCUGGGGUAACUUGGUCCGGUUGUCAGUAUUACUGGGUCAGUAAUUUUGGGUAAUUGGCUUGUAGGCCGUGUAGUGGGGUGUUAACCCUUUCUCAUGGAGGUUCUUUUUUUCUCCGCAGUCGCCCCAACUAAAAGCGUGAAAUUAUGUGCAAAAUGUGCUGUGCCUUGUGGGUUAAGUAUUAUAUGCAUAGUGGUAGGCUUGAAGCUCCACAGGGUCUUUUCGUCUUGUGGUAGUAUUCCAGCUUUUGUACUGAAAGAUCAGUUUCAUUGAGUGGGUAUAGAAGACAGUUGGGCCCUCAGUUAGCCAUUCAUACAGGUCUCUAUUUAGGAGACAAGUGAUUACGCUACCUUUGCACGGUUAUGAUACCGCGGCCGUUGAAU
rnacentral:rRNA from 1 species